rnacentral:tRNA from 1 species
AUUUAAAUAGUUUAAAUAAAAUAUUGAUUUGUGGGGUCAUAGAUGUGAUAUAGUAUCAUUUUAAAUU